UGCUUAUCAUACCGCAGCAGAAAGGUUCUUUAAGAGCGAGAUAAGGAGGAGGUUGUUUGUGACGACUGUGUUGCUUGUACUUAGCCGUGUUGGAUAUUUUAUCCCUUUGCAUGGGUUUGACAGAAGAUUAAUACCUCAAGAUUACCUUAGCUUUGUCUCAGGUUCCGUUGUGGAAGGUAUAGUGGUGGCUUGCACUUCUCUCCAGUACUCUGUUUUUGUAGCCACAGCUCAGUAAUCGAUCAACUAAUCCAAUCCACGGCUGGGAGAAUCAUUGUGCGGUUCAUUGUGAUGGGUUCUGGGAUAUUAGGUCGUGCUUUCUUUCAAGCUUAUCAUAAGGCCAUUGCGAAUCAAGUAAGAAGAGUGAAAGUAAUGUUGUAAGAACCUUGCAAUGGAGCAAUUAAAUGUUGGAGUUUCUUAAAUUUGUCUCUUAAAUCACUUUUUGUACUUAAAAGCAUUAAAAAAUAAUAAGAACCCCUAAUAUGGGUCUUUGCAAUAAUCAUGCUCUAGUGAUCUAUUUGUUGAUGUAUCCAUUUUUCCAGCUUGCUACUUAUCUUUUGUCUAAUAUACUAAUAGGAACAUGAGUUUGGUAUUC